rnacentral:lncRNA from 1 species
CGAGCACCUAAAGGGCAAUAUUUUUUGAUCUCCUCUUCUCGUAAAGGGGAUGGAGGCGGAGAAACCGAAGUCUGUGCUGGGCUUGGAAGCGGACGAGGGCGCUGCGAGGAGGAGCGGAAGGCGGAGAUGCGCCGCGGCUGCACACGGUCGCCCGCGCCCCACUCCCCGGCGCCUGCCUUCCGCGGAGACGUCGCUGGUGUCUGCCACGUGCGGCAGCCCGGAGCCCAGGAGGGGAGGGCGGGCCGCCUGGCGGGGGUGGGCAAUGCCUCCCGGCCUCCAGACGCUAUAUAAACAGACCCGGACGCGAGGCAGCGGCGGAGGGCGAGCGUGACGCUGGAGGAGGAGUGGGAGCUCCCAGCCUGCGCGGGUCCUCUCUUUACCUGCCAGGGCUUUUCCGGGUAAUCUGGGACCGACAGGGAUGCCAGCACCCCGUCAUCUCACCCAAAGGGCGCCAGGCCAGAGAUUCCUGGGGAAAAGUCGCCGGCUGCAGGCGGUUGUCCCAGGAAUUCCUCCAUGGUGCCGGCGGGAGCGCGGCGAGCCGGGGCGCGGCGGCUGCGGGAGGUGGAGGCGACCCGGGACAGGGCCGGUCCCAGGGAGAGGGGAUCCCCCGAGCCGCGCGUUCCGCCGUUCAGGCCAGGUAGGGGGUGGGGAAGGAGGAGGAAGAGGAUCCCGAAGCAAGACAGAGCUGAGGCUCAGAGUUCUCAGGCAGCAGCUUCUGGAGGACACCGUGGAGACCCAAGGCGGCUUUAUUUGGGUCUGCAAACACCCGGGGCCCCGGUUAAGAUUCGGCAGGGCCACCCCGCUCCUCCCCCGCCUUGCACGACCGCACUCCGCGCGCCUUGUCACUGCGAGGGCUACCUGUCCUCGCACACUCCUCCGCGAUGGCCAGAAAACGUGGGACUCGAGAUAAGACUCUGGCAGAUGGUACUCCUCCCUCCGCCUAACGUAUCAAUGCACCAACGCCCCUGACCGCACACUCAGGAACCUGUGGCAGCCUCGCCAAGGGACAGCGUGCCCAGCACCGUGCACUGGGCACUCUUGGAUCUGGAGCUCACAACUCCGGAAGGAAUGGGGACUUAGAUGAGGUGACAGACAUGCAUGCAUGCAAUGCAGGCUGAAUCCGCCUGUCUGGAGCCAAAAAUAAACGCCAUGGUCACCUCUUUGUUACAACCUGGAUAUGAUGCCCACAUGCGUGGGGUAGACAUGCUUGGGAUAGAUAAGCCUGUGGACUUCAGACGGUAUUUUCUCUUUCCCUUUUUUCUUCUUUCUCGUCCUCAUCUCUGUCCCUCCCUCCUUUUCUUCUCGCCCUAUCUCUUCCUCCCUUUCUACUCUCUCUAGUGUCUCACUUGAGAAAGACCUAGAUUUGAGUGGGAAGAGUUAUGCCUUAAACUGUUCUCAUUAUAAAUUCAAAAUGUACUUGAAGAAUACAGAUCGACUGUAUGAUGGCAUGAAUAAAGCGCUAUGCUGUAAAAAAAAAAAAAAAA